GCCUGGGUGGCGAAAUUGGUAGACGCAAGGCACUUAAAAUGCCUCGGCCACAAGCCGUACGGGUUCGAGCCCCGUCCCGGGCA
rnacentral:tRNA from 1 species